AGGUCACUGCUAUCGGUGUUCGAUUAAGCCAUGCGAGUCGUGAGGGGUAAAGCCCUCGGCGGAGUGCUCAGUAACACGUGGACAACCUACCCAAGAGUCAGGGAUAACCCCGGGAAACUGGGGAUAAUACCUGAUAGGCCAUGACAUCUGGAAUCGAGUUGUGGUUUAAACGUAAGGCUCUUGGAUGGGUCUGCGGCGGAUUAGGUUGUUGCCGGUGUAACGUACCAGCAAGCCUGUAAUCCGUACGGGUUGUGGGAGCAAGAGCCCGGAGAUGGAUUCUGAGACACGAAUCCAGGCCCUACGGGGCGCAGCAGGCGCGAAAACUCUACAAUGCAGGCAACUGCGAUAGGGGAACAUCGAGUGGCAUCCACCAUGGAUGUCUGUCCAAUCGUCUAAAAAACGAUUGUCAGCAAGGGCCGGGCAAGACCGGUGCCAGCCGCCGCGGUAAUACCGGCGGCUCGAGUGGUGGCCGAUAUUAUUGAGUCUAAAGGGUCCGUAGCCGGCUUUGCAAGUCCUAUGGGAAAUCCAGCGGCUUAACCGUUGGGCUUUCAUGGGAUACUACAUUGCUUGGGACUGGGAGAGGUAGGAGGUACUCAGGGGGUAGGGGUGAAAUCCUGUAAUCCUUUGGGGACCACCGGUGGCGAAGGCGUCCUACCAGAACAGGUCCGACGGUGGGGGACGAAAGCUAGGGGCACGAACCGGAUUAGAUACCCGGGUAGUCCUAGCCGUAAACGAUGCUCGCUAGGUGUCACGGCAGUCGUGAAUUGUCGUGGUGCCGUAGGGAAGCCGUGAAGCGAGCCACUUGGGAAGUACGACCGCAAGGUUGAAACUUAA
rnacentral:rRNA from 1 species